AUGGAAUGCGACUGCGAAGACGAUGACCUAACUAAUCUGCUGAACCAUAGGACAGACAAGGUAAUCGCGGUGGGAAGCUCGUUGGGCUGGGUUGAUCUUUGGUGGGGUAUUCUGGUGUGCGAUGUGCUCAACGAGGAGGAUCCUUUGAUUCGUUUCAUUGAUCUGCCUGGUCCAAUGCCCAGCAACGAGCAUUGGUUCGGAACAUCGUCCGCUGGGGCAUGCCGAGACGUCAUCUGCAACGGAGAUUUAAUCAAGUUUGUUGAAGUUGAGUACCAUCGAGGUGACUAUGCUGAAGGCUCAGAUGAUAGUGCCAUUGAUUAUGGUUGGAAGGCCACAGCAUGGCAUAAGAUUCUUUCAUCACACAAUUUUGCUGAUUGGCAGCACAGCUUCACUGUAGACACUUAUGACAUUACAGUAACGGACGAUGAGAGAUGCUCUUACUUGUUGCCUGAACUGUGA
rnacentral:rRNA from 1 species